GCCCAGACAUGCACAAAGAUGAAAUGACGGUCAGAGCAACAUCCAGUCAAAAUGUUUUGGUCUGAAAACACUCCCACCUUUUUGUCAUCAGCUCAGAUCUCUGCUUCUCUGGCAGGCGGGCCAAAGACAGACAAAUCUCACAGCCACACAAACGCUUGCUUUUGCUUUUAAUGGCUCAGCAACAACAUUUUCCGAUGUGAAACGUGUCUUCUCUGUCCUCCGCCCAAGCUGAUGGGAAAAUCUGAACAAGGCGAGGGGUAUCAGUCUCUCCAGCCUCUCUCUCCUCCCUCAUUCUCUUCUGGGACAGCUACUCCUCGUCAUGCUGACCAUUUUGCUUGCUCUUCUACCUGGCUCUGGUGUGGGACACACUGUCACACAGAGGCCAGAAUAUGCCCUCAAGAGAGCUGGAGAGAGUGUGGACCUCACCUGUUCUGGCAGGCCUGCCUACGUCCUGUGGUACCAGCAGCCUUCAAGAAAUAGUCUGAAGUUAAUAGCCAGCACUUCUCGGUGGCAUCAGAAUUCUUAUGAGGAAGGUUACAGUGAAGCCAAGUUUGAGAUCAGCAGGGACAAGAACAAUCUCUCCAUUAUGACUAUCAAGAAUGUGACAUCCAAGGAUGCUGCCACUUACUUCUGUGCUAUGAGUGAUCACACAAUGCAGCAAGAGCAUUAAGCACUUACACAAAAUCCUCACCCUGCCUGAAGGAGAGACAGAGUCUCUGUAAAACAUGAGACCGAUUGGAGAGGGGCAGGAGAAGAGCAGAGGGAAAACAAGGGCAAAGUCAGGGAAUGGAGCCUGGACUCUUGGAAGGCAAGAGGGUCUGCCAAAGCAAUGGAGCAGCAUCUAUCUUAAAGAAAAAAGGCAUUCAGAAACACAAAUGCAUAGCCUAAUAUUAAGAACUGUGGUACUGCUGGCUGACAAAAGGCACUAGACACUUCUCAGGAUUAGUG